rnacentral:rRNA from 1 species
UAGUCUGGGAUACCACUUGGAAACAGGUGCUAAUACCGGAUAAGAAAGCGGAUCGCAUGAUCAGCUUUUAAAAGGCGGCGUAAGCUGUCGCUAUGGGAUGGCCCCGCGGUGCAUUAGCUAGUUGGUGAGGUAAAGGCUUACCAAGGCGAUGAUGCAUAGCCGAGUUGAGAGACUGAUCGGCCACAUUGGGACUGAGACACGGCCCAAACUCCUACGGGAGGCAGCAGGC